rnacentral:rRNA from 1 species
GGGUUGUGAGGUUAAGCGACUAAGCGUACACGGUGGAUGCCCUGGCAGUCAGAGGCGAUGAAGGACGUGCUAAUCUGCGAUAAGCGUCGGUAAGGUGAUAUGAACCGUUAUAACCGGCGAUUUCCGAAUGGGGAAACCCAGUGUGUUUCGACACACUAUCAUUAACUGAAUCCAUAGGUUAAUGAGGCGAACCGGGGGAACUGAAACAUCUAAGUACCCCGAGGAAAAGAAAUCAACCGAGAUUCCCCCAGUAGCGGCGAGCGAACGGGGAGCAGCCCAGAGCCUGAAUCAGUGUGUGUGUUAGUGGAAGCGUCUGGAAAGGCGCGCGAUACAGGGUGACAGCCCCGUACACAAAAAUGCACAUGCUGUGAGCUCGAUGAGUAGGGCGGGACACGUGGUAUCCUGUCUGAAUAUGGGGGGACCAUCCUCCAAGGCUAAAUACUCCUGACUGACCGAUAGUGAACCAGUACCGUGAGGGAAAGGCGAAAAGAACCCCGGCGAGGGGAGUGAAAAAGAACCUGAAACCGUGUACGUACAAGCAGUGGGAGCACGCUUAGGCGUGUGACUGCGUACCUUUUGUAUAAUGGGUCAGCGACUUAUAUUCUGUAGCAAGGUUAACCGAAUAGGGGAGCCGAAGGGAAACCGAGUCUUAACUGGGCGUUAAGUUGCAGGGUAUAGACCCGAAACCCGGUGAUCUAGCCAUGGGCAGGUUGAAGGUUGGGUAACACUAACUGGAGGACCGAACCGACUAAUGUUGAAAAAUUAGCGGAUGACUUGUGGCUGGGGGUGAAAGGCCAAUCAAACCGGGAGAUAGCUGGUUCUCCCCGAAAGCUAUUUAGGUAGCGCCUCGUGAAUUCAUCUCCGGGGGUAGAGCACUGUUUCGGCAAGGGGGUCAUCCCGACUUACCAACCCGAUGCAAACUGCGAAUACCGGAGAAUGUUAUCACGGGAGACACACGGCGGGUGCUAACGUCCGUCGUGAAGAGGGAAACAACCCAGACCGCCAGCUAAGGUCCCAAAGUCAUGGUUAAGUGGGAAACGAUGUGGGAAGGCCCAGACAGCCAGGAUGUUGGCUUAGAAGCAGCCAUCAUUUAAAGAAAGCGUAAUAGCUCACUGGUCGAGUCGGCCUGCGCGGAAGAUGUAACGGGGCUAAACCAUGCACCGAAGCUGCGGCAGCGACGCUGAUGCGUUGUUGGGUAGGGGAGCGUUCUGUAAGCCUGCGAAGGUGUGCUGUGAGGCAUGCUGGAGGUAUCAGAAGUGCGAAUGCUGACAUAAGUAACGAUAAAGCGGGUGAAAAGCCCGCUCGCCGGAAGACCAAGGGUUCCUGUCCAACGUUAAUCGGGGCAGGGUGAGUCGACCCCUAAGGCGAGGCCGAAAGGCGUAGUCGAUGGGAAACAGGUUAAUAUUCCUGUACUUGGUGUUACUGCGAAGGGGGGACGGAGAAGGCUAUGUUGGCCGGGCGACGGUUGUCCCGGUUUAAGCGUGUAGGCUGGUUUUCCAGGCAAAUCCGGAAAAUCAAGGCUGAGGCGUGAUGACGAGGUACUACGGUGCUGAAGCAACAAAUGCCCUGCUUCCAGGAAAAGCCUCUAAGCAUCAGGUAACAUCAAAUCGUACCCCAAACCGACACAGGUGGUCAGGUAGAGAAUACCAAGGCGCUUGAGAGAACUCGGGUGAAGGAACUAGGCAAAAUGGUGCCGUAACUUCGGGAGAAGGCACGCUGAUAUGUAGGUGAAGUCCCUUGCGGAUGGAGCUGAAAUCAGUCGAAGAUACCAGCUGGCUGCAACUGUUUAUUAAAAACACAGCACUGUGCAAACACGAAAGUGGACGUAUACGGUGUGACGCCUGCCCGGUGCCGGAAGGUUAAUUGAUGGGGUCAGCGCAAGCGAAGCUCUUGAUCGAAGCCCCGGUAAACGGCGGCCGUAACUAUAACGGUCCUAAGGUAGCGAAAUUCCUUGUCGGGUAAGUUCCGACCUGCACGAAUGGCGUAAUGAUGGCCAGGCUGUCUCCACCCGAGACUCAGUGAAAUUGAACUCGCUGUGAAGAUGCAGUGUACCCGCGGCAAGACGGAAAGACCCCGUGAACCUUUACUAUAGCUUGACACUGAACAUUGAGCCUUGAUGUGUAGGAUAGGUGGGAGGCUUGGAAGUGUGGACGCCAGUCUGCAUGGAGCCGACCUUGAAAUACCACCCUUUAAUGUUUGAUGUUCUAACGUUGACCCGUAAUCCGGGUUGCGGACAGUGUCUGGUGGGUAGUUUGACUGGGGCGGUCUCCUCCUAAAGAGUAACGGAGGAGCACGAAGGUUGGCUAAUCCUGGUCGGACAUCAGGAGGUUAGUGCAAUGGCAUAAGCCAGCUUGACUGCGAGCGUGACGGCGCGAGCAGGUGCGAAAGCAGGUCAUAGUGAUCCGGUGGUUCUGAAUGGAAGGGCCAUCGCUCAACGGAUAAAAGGUACUCCGGGGAUAACAGGCUGAUACCGCCCAAGAGUUCAUAUCGACGGCGGUGUUUGGCACCUCGAUGUCGGCUCAUCACAUCCUGGGGCUGAAGUAGGUCCCAAGGGUAUGGCUGUUCGCCAUUUAAAGUGGUACGCGAGCUGGGUUUAGAACGUCGUGAGACAGUUCGGUCCCUAUCUGCCGUGGGCGCUGGAGAACUGAGGGGGGCUGCUCCUAGUACGAGAGGACCGGAGUGGACGCAUCACUGGUGUUCGGGUUGUCAUGCCAAUGGCACUGCCCGGUAGCUAAAUGCGGAAGAGAUAAGUGCUGAAAGCAUCUAAGCACGAAACUUGCCCCGAGAUGAGUUCUCCCUGACCCUUUAAGGGGCCUGAAGGAACGUUGAAGACGACGACGUUGAUAGGCCGGGUGUGUAAGCGCAGCGAUGCGUUGAGCUAACCGGUACUAAUGAACCGUGAGGCUUAACCUUACAACGCCGAAG